rfam:Oryza barthii chromosome 8, whole genome shotgun sequence.
UUUAAGUGCAGCCAUGAGUUUCCACGCACAACUUUGAUCGUCCGUCUUAUUUGAAUUUUUUUAUAUAAUUAGUAUUUUUGUUGUUAUGAUGUGAUAAAACAUGAAAAGUACUUUACUCGUGACUUAUGUUUUUUUUAAAUUUUUUUUCAAAUAAAACGGACGAUCAAAGUUAGGUGCGGAAAACUAUGGCUACACUUAAA